rnacentral:rRNA from 1 species
ACGAGCGCAACCCCUGUCUUUAGUUGCCAUCAGGUAAUGCUGAGCACUCUAAAGAGACCGCUGGUGACGAGCCAGAGGAAGGUGGGGAUGACGUCAAGUCCGCAUGGCCCUUAUGCCCUGGGCUGCACACGUGCUACAAUGGUCGGUACAGAGGGACGCCAAACCGUGAGGUGGAGCAAAUCCCAAAAAGCCGACCCCAGUUCGGAUUGCAGUCUGCAACUCGACUGCAUGAAGUUGGAAUCGCUAGUAAUCGCGAAUCAGCAGGUCGCGGUGAAUACGUUCCCGGCCCUUGNACACACCGCCCGU